rnacentral:rRNA from 1 species
UACAGAGGUCUCAAGCGUUGUUCGGAUUCAUUGGGCGUAAAGGGUGCGUAGGUGGCGAGGUAAGUCAGGUGUGAAAUCUCGGGGCUCAACCCCGAAACUGCACUUGAUACUGCCUUGCUCGAGUACUGGAGAGGAGAUUGGAAUUUACGGUGUAGCAGUGAAAUGCGUAGAGAUCAUGAGGAAGACCAGUGGCGAAGGCGGGUCUCUGGACAGUUCCUGACACUGAGACACGAAGGCCAGGGGAGCAAACGGG